rnacentral:rRNA from 1 species
AGUGAACGCUGGCGGCAGGCCUAACACAUGCAAGUCGAGCGGAUGAAGGGAGCUGGUUCCUGGAUUCAGCGGCGGACGGGGGCGGAAUACCUAUGAAUGGGCCUGGUAGUGGGGGAGGACGUUCGGGAACGGGCGCUAAUACCGCAUACGCCCGGAGCGAGAAAGGGGGGGAUCUUCGGACCUGACGCUAUCAGAUGAGCCUAGGUCGGAUUAGCUAGUUGGUGGGGUAAAGGCCUACCAAGGCGACGAUCCGUAACUGGUCUGAGAGGAUGAUCAGUCACACUGGAACUGAGACACGGUCCAGACUCCUACGGGAGGCAGCAGUAGGGAAUAUUGGACAAUGGGCGAAAGCCUGAUCCAGCCAUGCCGCGUGUGUGAAGAAGGUCUUCGGAUUGUAAAGCACUUUAAGUUGGGAGGAAGGGCAGUAAGUUAAUACCUUGCUGUUUUGACGUUACCAACAGAAUAAGCACCGGCUAACUUCGUG